rnacentral:tRNA from 1 species
GGCUCGAUAGCUCAGUCGGUAGAGCAAAGGACUGAAAAUCCUUGUGUCGGCAGUUCGAUCCUGCCUCGAGCCACCA